NNNNNUUUGUCUGCUUAAUUGCGAUAACGGACGAGACCUUAACCUGCUAAAUAGGGCUGCGAGCAUCUGCUCGGGUGCUCUUCUUAGAGGGACUAUGGGUAUCAAACCCAUGGAAGUUUGAGGCAA
rnacentral:ncRNA from 1 species